CUCACCUCCAAGAUCCAGCAAGAUCCAGUCAUCUCAGCCUAAGGAGGAGUCGGGUUUGGCGGGAUCCGCUCCUGGGCACAGGGCGCCUGGGGACGGCAGGGGGCGCUGUCUGCAAGGCUUUGGUUCCGGGGUCGGCUAGCCGAGCCGGCAGCCGCGCGUGCGCAGUAGCCGGGUAGGGAUGUGGGCGUUCCGCAGGCCGGAGCCUGGCUUGUGCCCGGAGAGGCGGGUGGGCAAGGGACCUCGCGCUGCAGAGCCGGGAGCGGACGGGCGGUGCAGAAAGCCCGGGGACCACGGCCUGGCCCGGAGCCUCUCAACCGCGCGCCGAAUGCAGUGAACUUUGGCAAAAGUUGUUUCAUUUUUAUUAUUAACUGUGCUCCUUGUAGGAAAGUUGUAAGCGUAGACACAAAUCUCCCACGGCUACUCCCUGCAGAGAGGGUCGCUGCUGCUUGAGGGCCCCGGUUCAGACCUCUCUCGCCUACCCGGGGGUCUCUGUGAAUCGCUUGCACCCCUCUGGAGCCGCUUUCAGUUCAGUGCAGGGAGAAUCAACUCCCGUGCCCGGGAUGGGGAGCUCUGAAGAGCAUCGUGGUCAACAGGACCAGUGAGGGGCGCUUGUGCGUCCCCGGCAGGGAGCGCUGCGACCCCAUGGGAAGGGCUUCCCGGACCGUCCUGAAAGCUCCUUGGACGGCUGCGACUGGAGGGACUUGCAGCCUGAGUGAGGAUGACUCUGGCACCUGGUCGCUGAGAUCGCGACAGUCCUGCCCACCAACGAGAUCGGACAGUCCUGCCCACCAGCGAGAUCGGGCAGCCCUGGGUGUGCGAGUGCCAAGGGACAAGAGCGCGUCUGGGUCAUCACGCCCCCUGCAAGCAGCCAGUCCAGGGCCCGUCUUUGACACCAGACCCCGCCCGUGGCCAGCCACUUUUCCAGAGGAAAGCACGGCCCCACAGGAGGCCCCACACCGCUCCAUCACAGCUUUGAAGUUUCGAAUGAAGGAUCAAUGGGAGGAUAGAAUUGAGAGAAUCUGGAAGUAAAUGUGACCUCCAUAACUCUAAGAUCUUACUCUCGAAACUACAGACUCUGGAUUUCAGCGCUGGAAGACCGUGAGGGGCACCAGGCAGCUGACACUUGCUCAGGGACACGCACCGGGCUAGUAGCAGGAGCUGAACCUGAGCCCAGGUCUUUGGACUUCCAGCUUUCUGGAGUCGGGAAUCAGAGCAGAGUGUCCUGGUUUUGUGUCUCCCUUUUACACCCAGACGCUCAUGUACUACCUGACAUCUUCCACUCAACAUGAUGAAACAGGAAAGAAAUUGAAUUUGUUUUCUAUUGCCAUGUGACAGAUUACCAGAUUUGUUAACAAAUUUGGCAGAUUAAAAUGCAUGCAUUGAUUAUCUGACAAUUUCUGUGGGUCUGGAGGCUGGGAGGGCUUAGCUGGGUCCUGUGCUCAGGGUUGAGCAGAAUCGCGGUGCUCGGGAAGACUCUCGGGAGUCCAUUGGGAGAGUGACUGCAUGAAUGUUGAGGGUGGGCACGGGGCUGGACGCCGGGGUCUGUGACACCAGGCAUAGUAGCUCAAGGCCCUGUGGCCAAGCUCAUGGUCAACCUAGCAAAGGUGCAGUGGGAGUGAUCCACAGCUGACUGAUACAGGGCCUCUCUGCUGUGGCCUGGGUGCAUUCACAGCUGAAUCUUUGGUGGGGGCAGAGGGAGGGCCUGGUGUUACUAUUUCUGGUCUGAUUAACCCUGGUGAGUGAGGUGCUGGGAAGAGCCCUGAGCCUCCUAAGUUUGAAGGUUGAGAGGCAAUGUUUUACUGCCAAGUGGGGAGUACAAUCUAGCCCAGAGACCAGGCGCUGGGGGGAUGAAGUUCAAAAGAGGAAAGAUAAGGUAGGUUUUUCAAAGCUCAAAGACCUUGAGCUCGGUCUGUCCCUUAUCAGGAUCGCAGGGUCUCAGGGUGAUGGCUGUCGAUACCACGGGCUGGCUUGAGGGGGCUUGCUGCAAGUUGGAGGUGUUGGCUGGGAUCAGCAGUGCGUGGGAUGUGCCUGAAUUAACACUGUGGCACUCAGCCAGGUCAGUCCUGGGCUGGGCGCGCCAGGGCCAGGCCGGGGUUUGUCAUGAGCCUCAGCUAGGUUUAAUUUUAUGUAGAAAAAUUAUCAAAUAAGAUGGUUCUCAAAUUUGAGUGUCGUGGAGCAAAGCCAUGCUUAUUAUAUAAAUAAAAGGAUAUUCUAGCAGGCA
ensembl:lncRNA